AGUGAACGCUGGCGGUAGGCCUAACACAUGCAAGUCGAACGGCAGCACAGUAAGAGCUUGCUCUUACGGGUGGCGAGUGGCGGACGGGUGAGGAAUACAUCGGAAUCUACUUUUUCGUGGGGGAUAACGUAGGGAAACUUACGCUAAUACCGCAUACGACCUACGGGUGAAAGCAGGGGAUCUUCGGACCUUGCGCGAUUGAAUGAGCCGAUGUCGGAUUAGCUAGUUGGCGGGGUAAAGGCCCACCAAGGCGACGAUCCGUAGCUGGUCUGAGAGGAUGACCAGCCACACUGGAACUGAGACACGGUCCAGACUCCUACGGGAGGCAGCAGUGGGGAAUAUUGGACAAUGGGCGCAAGCCUGAUCCAGCCAUACCGCGUGGGUGAAGAAGGCCUUCGGGUUGUAAAGCCCUUUUGUUGGGAAAGAAAAGCAGCAGGUUAAUACCCAGCUGUUCUGACGGUACCCAAAGAAUAAGCACCGGCUAACUUCGUG
rnacentral:rRNA from 1 species